rnacentral:rRNA from 1 species
AUUGAACGCUGGCGGAAUGCUUUACACAUGCAAGUCGAGCGGCAGCACGGGGGCAACCCUGGUGGCGAGCGGCGAACGGGUGAGUAAUACAUCGGAACAUGCCCAGUCGUGGGGGAUAACACUUCGAAAGAAGUGCUAAUACCGCAUACGUCCUGAGGGGGAAAGCGGGGGAUCGCAAGACCUCGCGCGAUUGGAGUGGCCGAUGUCAGAUUAGCUAGUUGGUGGGGUAAAGGCCUACCAAGGCAACGAUCUGUAGCUGGUCUGAGAGGAUGAUCAGCCACACUGGGACUGAGGCACGGCCCAGACUCCUACGGGAGGCAGCAGUGGGGAAUUUUGGACAAUGGGGGCAACCCCGAUCCAGCCAUUCCGCGUGAGUGAAGAAGGCCUUCGGGUUGUAAAGCUCUUUCGGCAGGAACGAAACGGUGAGCUCUAACAUAGCUUGCUAAUGACGGUACCUGAAGAAGAAGCACCGGCUAACUACGUG